UUUGGAAACAGCCUGUCUUCCACAGAGAGUGAUAUAAGAGAUAUAGUUAAACUUGGUAACCCUUCAUGUGAUCUGCGCUGAAGCCAAAGUGAGCUUACACUGUAACAUUGAGUCGUAUAGCUCUUUAUCAGGAAUUCCUAAGGAUGAACUCCUUGCUCAUCAGAAAAAAUGCCGGAAAAGCUGUCCGAAGGGUCCCUCUUCCUCUGCCAGAACAGUGAAUGCGAGUAAUAAAGGAAAUAAGUUGAUUGUUUUGGUUUUGGCACUCAGAUGGCCUCUCCUAUGCAAGGAGGCCCUAGCUUUGCUCUACCUGCCACAGUCUGAAUACCUGCCAUACUACUUCCAACCAGAAUGGCAUCACCAAAAACUCAAGAUGAGUGCUGUCAUUCUGUGUGUUGUCAUUCUGCUUCCCUUCAAGCAGAAU